rnacentral:lncRNA from 1 species
AAUGCAGUAUUCUCUGAUGUGAAACCCAUAUGCAGGUUCUGCAGGGCCAGUUGCAGGACUUGAGCAUGCACGGAUUUGGGUUCGCAUGGGGUGUCCUAACCAGUCCCCUGAGUAUUCUGAGGGCCUUGACUGUACUUUUCAGCCUGCCACAGUAUUGCUUAUUUUAUUGUUUUUUUAGAUGUUGUUUGCUAAUUGAUUCUUAUUUUCAAAUGUCUUCUACAUGUUACAUGUUUUCUUUACCAGGAUGACUAUCAAAAUUAAGUUUCAUUUUGUUGCCUUUUAGCCCUCCAGAAGUUGCAAGUAGAACAAGAGGAAAACAGGUGACUUUUAUUUAGACUGUGCUUUUAUGUCAAACACUUAAAACAAUAUUAUUUACUGUUCUGCUUAAUAACUUUAUGUUUUAUUCUCUUAUAGGUUUAGUUUCAGGCAUUCUACAUCUGUUUCUAGUCUAGCUGAAAGAUUGGUUGUCUGGAUGACUAAUGUAGGAUUCACUUUAAGAGAUUUGGAAACUCUUCCCUUUGGAAUUGCUCUUCCCAUCAGAGAUGCAAUUUAUCACUGUCGUGAGCAGCCUGCCUCAGACUGGCCAGAAGCUGUCUGUCUCUUGAUUGGACGUCAGGAUCUUUCCAAGCAGGCCUGCGAAGGAAACUUACCCAAAGGGAAGUCUGUGCUCUCAUCAGAUGUUCCUUCAGGAACAGAAACUGAGGAGGAAGAUGAUGGCAUGAAUGACAUGAAUCACGAGGUCAUGUCAUUAAUAUGGAGUGAAGAUUUAAGGGUGCAGGAUGUGCGAAGGCUUCUUCAGAGUGCGCAUCCUGUCCGUGUCAACGUAGUGCAGUACCCAGAGCUCAGUGACCACGAGUUCAUCGAGGAAAAGGAAAACAGGUGA